UCGAGAAUUUUUCUCAAUGGGGGAAACCCUGAAGGAGCGACGCCGCGUGAAGGAUGAAGGUCUUCGGAUUGUAAACUUCUGUCAUUAGGGAACAAGUGUUAUCGAUUAACUGUCGGUAAUUUGAUAGUACCUGAAGAGGAAGAGACGGCUAACUCUGUGCCAGCAGCCGCGGUAAUACAGAGGUCUCAAGCGUUGUUCGGAUUCAUUGGGCGUAAAGGGUGCGUAGGUGGCGAGGUAAGUUGGAUGUGAAAUCCCGGGGCUCAACCCCGGAACUGCAUUCAAUACUGCUUUGCUAGAGUACUGGAGAGGAGAUUGGAAUUUACGGUGUAGCAGUGAAAUGCGUAGAUAUCGUAAGGAAGACCGGUGGCGAAGGCGGAUCUCUGGACAGUUACUGACACUGAGGCACGAAGGCCAGGGGAGCAAACGGGAUUAGAUACCCGCGUAGUCC
rnacentral:rRNA from 1 species